rnacentral:rRNA from 1 species
GACGAACGCUGGCGGCGUGCUUAACACAUGCAAGUCGAACGGAAAGGCCCUGCUUUUGUGGGUGCUCGAGGGGCGAACGGGUGAGUAACACGGGAGUAACCUGCCCUUGACUUUGGGAUAACUUCAGGAAACUGGGGCUAAUACCGGAUAGGAGCUCCUGCUUGAUGGGGGGGGGUGGGAAGUUUCGGCGGUUGGGGGUGGACUCGCGGCUUAUCAGCUUGUUGGUGGGGUAGUGGCUUACCAAGGCUUUGACGGGUAGCCGGCCUGAGAGGGUGACCGGCCACAUUGGGACUGAGAUACGGCCCAGACUCCUACGGGAGGCAGCAGUGGGGAAUAUUGCACAAUGGGCGGAAGCCUGAUGCAGCAACGCCGCGUGCGGGAUGACGGCCUUCGGGUUGUAAACCGCUUUCGCCUGUGACGAAGCGUGAGUGACGGUAAUGGGUAAAGAAGCACCGGCUAACUACGUG